rnacentral:lncRNA from 1 species
UAAAUCUCCCGGCGGCGGCGGAGCCUCCCCGACGGCAAAGGGCGGGCGCCGCGCCCCACCGCUCCUCUCGUGGCCCCGGUGCUCUGGUUUUCCUCUCCCUGAAGCCCUGUGUACACAAAGGGCUUGCUUCUGCCUUUCAAUUAGGUGGCAGAGGGAGCGCCUACCGGAGGAGCCAGGGAUCUGCGAGGCGAGCCGGUGCCGCAGGAAGGCAGAGGGAUGGCAUUUACCCUCCCGGCCACGAAAGGAGGACAUGUGUGAACACAGCAUCCUUGGCAUGAGGUGCCCAGCAGAUCUGAAGUAUCCCAGCAAUGCAGAGAGAAUAGUUACCUAUCAAGGCUUCAUGUGCAUCAUUGUUGUGGUUUAACCCGGCUGGCAGCUAAACACCACACAGCCGUUCGCUUACCCUCCCCCCUCCCUCUCUGGGAUGGGGGAGAGAAAUGGGAAA